AGACGUGCAGAGGGAGGAGAAGAAGGCCAUCAGGGAGGCCGCCAAGCGCAACGACGUCGGAUCGGCCAAGGAGAGUUAAGUAUUUUUGUAUUAAGAAGAAAAAAGAUUUUGGGUCUUUCACAACGACCUCAAGAGGUCAAAUUACAACACCCAUAUAACUAACGCUGAACAAAGCUACCUCGUGACUAAGCGUCAUCGUUAAUUACAGCCCCAGCUACUGCUAGGACAGUACUAGGCCAUUUGUCCAAGAGCACCGAAGUAAUGAAAUUUGUCAACAACCUUAUGAAAGCCCCGGAGGUCGCAGCCACAAUGCAGGAAUUCAGCAAAGAGAUGACAAAAGCACGAUGACUGUCAGAAUGUAUACGGAUCACUGAGACCAGCCGACCAGCUUGAGAUUUGGAGUCUGGAGCCCGGUGAGAUGUGUCUCGAUCAUUGCAGCUUUAUCGCUAGCAAAUAGUAGCCAGGCGGAGUGCUCAUCCUUAAGAUCUGAUCUUUCUCGACACCGGAAUAUGCUGCGACUACGCCCCUUAGCCAAAUACUAUUGCACUGUACUCUGCCGGUCCGGCCUGCCUGCCUGCCUGCCUGCCUGCCUGCAGCAAGGUAGAGACAAGGGCGUACUGAAAGAUUUGUUUUCUCCAUAACAACUACCAGAGUAUGGGAGGUUUUUGCAUGCUUCGAUUGCAUGGUUGGUGGACGGGGACCAGGCCCUUGGCGUGGCCACAAAUUGGACUCCUUGCGCCACAUGCUACUGCCCCCUAUUUGGGCUGUCCCGAGGCCAUGACAAUGAGUGCGGUAUGGAUGUGCAAAACGCUUGCCUCCUUGUGAAUGGUCCUGAUGGCUGAUGAUGCCUUGAUGGUCCUUAUGGAUGCCCAUCUUUCAUUGCGGACUCGUCAUGGAUCGCCUCCGUUCCCUCCCUCGCUGUCCGAUAAAAGGGCACGGAUCAUGCAUUCAGAGGUCCCCUCUGCCAUGGGUACUGAUAACUUGUUUGAACUUCGAUUUUGUUCUGGCUAUAUCUUAUUCGUUUCCUGUAUUAUUGGAUUUACUAAGAUGGUACAUUUGGCUUGUUCCUACAGUAUUCGUUUGACGAAAACCUA